GACGAACGCUGGCGGCGUGCUUAACACAUGCAAGUCGAACGGAAAGGCCCUGCUUGCAGGGUACUCGAGUGGCGAACGGGUGAGUAACACGUGGGUGAUCUGCCCUGCACUUCGGGAUAAGCUUGGGAAACUGGGUCUAAUACCGGAUAGGAGCCAUCUUUAGUGUGGUGGUUGGAAAGUUUUUUCGGUGUAGGAUGAGCUCGCGGCCUAUCAGCUUGUUGGUGGGGUAAUGGCCUACCAAGGCGGCGACGGGUAGCCGGCCUGCGAGGGUGUACGGCCACAUUGGGACUGAGAUACGGCCCAGACUCCUACGGGAGGCAGCAGUGGGGAAUAUUGCACAAUGGGCGCAAGCCUGAUGCAGCGACGCCGCGUGGGGGAUGAAGGCCUUCGGGUUGUAAACUCCUUUCGCUAGGGACGAAGCUUUUUUGUGACGGUACCUAGAUAAGAAGCACCGGCUAACUACGUG
rnacentral:rRNA from 1 species